rnacentral:rRNA from 1 species
CUGCCCAAAAGAGGGGGAUAACACUUGGAAACAGGUGCUAAUACCGCAUAACAUAGUUACCGCAUGGUAGCUAUGUAAAAGGUGGCUAUGCUACCGCUUUUGGAUGGGCCCGCGGCGCAUUAGCUAGUUGGUGGGGUAAAGGCUUACCAAGGCAAUGAUGCGUAGCCGAACUGAGAGGUUGAUCGGCCACAUUGGGACUGAGACACGGCCCAAACUCCUACGGGAGGCAGCAGUAGGGAAUCUUCCACAAUGGGCGAAAGCCUGAUGGAGCAACGCCGCGUGGGUGAAGAAGGUCUUCGGAUCGUAAAACCCUGUUGUUAGAGAAGAAAGUGCGUGAGAGUAACUGUUCACGUUUCGACGGUAUCUAACCAGAAAGCCACGGCUAACUACGUGCCAGCAGCCGCGGUAAUACGUAGGUGGCAAGCGUUAUCCGGAUUUAUUGGGCGUAAAGGGAACGCAGGCGGUCUUUUAAGUCUGAUGUGAAAGCCUUCGGCUUAACCGGAGUAGUGCAUUGGAAACUGGGAGACUUGAGUGCAGAAGAGGAGAGUGGAACUCCAUGUGUAGCGGUGAAAUGCGUAGAUAUAUGGAAGAACACCAGUGGCGAAAGCGGCUCUCUGGUCUGUAACUGACGCUGAGGUUCGAAAGCGUGGGUAGCAAACAGGAUUAGAUACCCUGGUAGUCCACGCCGUAAACGAUGA